UGGUGAGUAACACGUGGAUAACCUACCUAUAAGACUGGGAUAACUUCGGGAAACCGGAGCUAAUACCGGAUAAUAUUUUUAACCGCAUGGUUCAAAAGUGAAAGACGGUCUUGCUGUCACUUAUAGAUGGAUCCGCGCUGCAUUAGCUAGUUGGUAAGGUAACGGCUUACCAAGGCAACGAUGCAUAGCCGACCUGAGAGGGUGAUCGGCCACACUGGAACUGAGACACGGUCCAG
rnacentral:rRNA from 1 species